rnacentral:tRNA from 1 species
GGGAUGUAGUUCAGUGGUAGAGUGCUUGCCCAGCAUGCACAAGACCCUGGGUUCAACACCCAGCCCCA